GGGGUCUUCCUCUUUUCAUUGUAAUAAAGUUUGCUGCAGAAGGAUCCUGUUGUCUGUGUCCAUUCUUGCUGGCGAGACGAUUACGCGGGUCGUAACAUCUGGUGCCGAAACCCGGGAUGCCGGGAGCCUGCCAUUGCCGGUGCCGAGGAGACCCCCGUUCGCGGGGAGGAUUCAGAACUGUAGCAUCGAGGAAGAAAACAAUCCAUUCUGGGUACCGGAGCACCUCACAUGAAAGCUCGCGGCAGCUGAAGAUGAUCUUUCAAUGAAUAUACCUGCAACUAAUUCCAGUUCUUGCUUGGAUCCUUCUAAAUCUGGUUCCUAGUAUUGUGGGGGUACAACGUUGGGCCAUUUUGUCUGCAUUCCCAAAGCCUAUGCUGGUCAGACAUAAUUCAUAAUUUUUUCUCGUCCAAUAAAGAUUUAGGCCUGCCUUAUUUGACAGUAAAUCAAUUGUCGGCAGGUGUGGCUGAAGCCAUAAACCUUCAUGCAUCUGCUAGCACACAAUUAAAAGGCAGAUUGAUGGUUCUUAACCAGCGUCUGGAUCUUGUGGAAGAAAGAAUAGAUAUUUUAUCUCAAUUGGCUCAAUUAGGGUGUGAAAGAAAAAUAGGAGCACUUCGUAUUACCAGUGUACAAUAUGAAGAUCUUACCCGAGCUGCUAAGUUGUCCAGGAAAUUGUCCCUAUAUCUUGCAGGAAAUUGGUAAGAAGGAUUUGAAGAAACGCUUGAAGAGCUAAGGGCGGCGGUGGUGACCAUUAAUUCUACUCGAGUGGAUUUAUCGCUCACAGAACGCUUAUUAUCCUGGGUUUCUUCCGCCUUUUCUUAUUUUAAGGAAUGGGUGGGCGUUGGGAUGUUUGGCGCUGCCCUGUGCUGUGGUUUAAUAUUUGUCCUCUGGUUGUUCUGCAAACUCAAAACCCAACAAAAAUGUGACAAGGUGGUGAUCGCACAGGCGCUAGCCGCUCUGGAGCAAGCCACCUCCCCCAAUAUUUGGUUAUCCAUGCUGAAAAAUUAAUGUUUGACAAGGUUGCUUCUGUCUUUGCAGGCACAUGCCACAAUCUGGAUUUACAGCCCUUGCACUCCCUGGGGAUCUGUUUCCCAUUGCACGGGGAUGGGUGUAAAUCAUAAUUUUUCUCUUGCCAAAAGAUCUGGAAAGUCAGUGACGGAAGAGUGCAAAUAAGUCUUCACCAACCUAAGACAGGACAGCCUCACAGUGAGGAGGUUGCUCCAAUGACGGGCAACGGCUGAGACCACCAGGCUCAGACGUUGGCUUUCUGGCAUAAUGCUGUAUUGACAGUAGGAAGCUUACUGUUCAAACAAAAUAAAAAAGGGGGAGAUGUGGAGAGCCGGGGUUUGGUCGCCAUGGCACUGGCUUCCGCCCUCAAAACUGGUAAACAAGUCCUAGAGUGCAUGACCGUUAGGCAAUAGCACGCCAAGUCAUGAGCCCAGCCUGGGGCGUCAUAUGGGGUGAUGGGUGAGCAGCCAAUCAGGGGAUGAUACGUCAUCUCACACCAUGGGUGAGCAGCCAAUCAGGGAAUGAUACGUCAUCUCACACCACUCUGGUGCGAGCAGGGCUUAUAUAAACAGUGCCACUUCGGGGCUCGGGAUCUUCCUCUUUUCAUUGUAAUAAAGUUUGCUGCAGAAGGA